GACGUAGGGUGCGAGCGUUGUCCGGAUUUAUUGGGCGUAAAGAGCUCGUAGGCGGCUCGUCGCGUCGACCGUGAAAACCCGCAGCUUAACUGCGGGCUUGCGGUUGAUACGGGCGGGCUAGAGUUCGGUAGGGGAGACUGGAAUUCCUGGUGUAGCGGUGAAAUGCGCAGAUAUCAGGAAGAACACCCGUGGCGAAGGCGGCUCUCUGGAACGCAACUGACGCUGAGACGCGAAAGCGUGGGGAGCAAACAGG
rnacentral:rRNA from 1 species